GAUCAUGGCUCAGGAUGAACGCUAGCGGCAGGCUUAACACAUGCAAAGUCGAGGGGUAUUGGUUUUCGGACCAAGAGACCGGCGCACGGGUGCGUAACGCGUAUGCAAUCACCUUUUGCAGAGGGAUAGCCCAGAGAAAUUUGGAUUAAUACCUCAUAGUAUAGUACUUUGGCAUCAAGGAACUAUUAAAGUCACAACGGCAAAAGAUGAGCAUGCGUCCCAUUAGCUAGUUGGUAAGGUAACGGCUUACCAAGGCUACGAUGGGUAGGGGUCCUGAGAGGGAGAUCCCCCACACUGGUACUGAGACACGGACCAGACUCCUACGGGAGGCAGCAGUGAGGAAUAUUGGACAAUGGGCGCAAGCCUGAUCCAGCCAUGCCGCGUGCAGGAUGACGGUCCUAUGGAUUGUAAACUGCUUUUAUACAGGAAGAAACACUCCGACGUGUCGGAGCUUGACGGUACUGUAAGAAUAAGGAUCGGCUAACUCCGUG
rnacentral:rRNA from 1 species